rnacentral:lncRNA from 1 species
CUUCUCGCUCACCCGUCUGACGAAUUGUUUGCAAGUCUAAGCAUUUUUUACUUCUCUGCUGCCUUUGCAGAGAACAUCUUUCGGAACUGUGUGACCCAGUGCGCUUUUGGUUCUCUUCUAAAGUCUCUGGUCACCUUUUAUCCAUCUUCUGUCCAGAUUCCUCGUUGUGACCUCUUCUCAUUAAUAACCCAGGGUCACCCAGUCUGCAGACUUCUGUUUUGUCCCUCUCCACACUCAUUCUUGGAGACACUCUUUCAAACACUUAUAGGAGGCAAGACACCUCUCAUCAGGACUGCCAGGUGCCUAAAGGAUUUCUGCCAGGGUCCUGUAUCGCCAAGUUCGUUGUUCAUAUUACUCCUCAAUACGGAACGCCUUCAGCCAAGAGAAGAAACCCGAGAUACAGCAUUAACCAGGAGGCUGGAGUCAAUUCAACUGCUUGAGUAGGUAAGCUUUGGCUUUGUGGCUCUUUUUUUCCUCCUUUCUGGUGACUCUGCCCAUUGGGACCCUCUCCCCUCAAAUUAACUGUCACAUAAGUAGUAUCCCUCCCAGGGACAUUUGCAUUUUAGGAAUAUAUUUUUAAAUGAAAGACUCUUAAAGUCCUUUAAGAUUCAAAGGAAUGGUGGCAUUCCAAGCUUCCUAAUAGGUAGGGUGGGAGCUGUUUGGGAACAAAAUACAGCUAGACACAACCUUUCACUGUGUAACUCCAUAAGGCAACUCCUUCCUUCAUCUCUCCUUUCUUGACCCCCUCCAUCCUUCACAGGUCUCCUUAGUCGCAUCUUGGGUGAGAAGAAAGCAAGAAAAUGAGGGAUCACAGACUUGGAGUUAAAAAUCAAGAUAGGAUGUAGAAAGAGUACCUAGGAUCUUAGAGAUUUUUUUCCUUUACUAGCCUCCAAGGUGCUUCUAAUACAGAAUAACUCCUGCCUUUGGCUUGGUUGGUAAAGCAUCUUGUGAUGGACACAUUGUAUGCGAGCGGGUGGGGUGGGGACUGGAGGCUAGGGUGGAAGUGCCGGGUGUCAGGAUGGAGAGGUC